AAAUUGAAGAGUUUGAUCAUGGCUCAGAUUGAACGCUGGCGGCAGGCCUAACACAUGCAAGUCGAACGGUAACAGGAAGAAGCUUGCUUCUUUGCUGACGAGUGGCGGACGGGUGAGUAAUGUCUGGGAAACUGCCUGAUGGAGGGGGAUAACUACUGGAAACGGUAGCUAAUACCGCAUAACGUCGCAAGACCAAAGAGGGGGACCUUCGGGCCUCUUGCCAUCGGAUGUGCCCAGAUGGGAUUAGCUUGUUGGUGGGGUAACGGCUCACCAAGGCGACGAUCCCUAGCUGGUCUGAGAGGAUGACCAGCCACACUGGAACUGAGACACGGUCCAGACUCCUACGGGAGGCAGCAGUGGGGAAUAUUGCACAAUGGGCGCAAGCCUGAUGCAG
rnacentral:rRNA from 1 species